AUGCGCACACACACACACACACAAAUGAAGAAAAUGCCUGUCAAAGGGAGAUUCUCAAUUGGUUCGCUCAACUGCUCUGUCCUCAGUUUUCCUCACCUAGGGCUCCUUUUGAAAAAGCUCAACGGUAACCGAGGAGAAGAAAUGUGGAAACAAUACGUUUUAAUUAAAUUAGACUCUCCUUCUUCACUCGCUCGUCAUCAUGUAAAUGACAUUUCCAGGGAUGGAAUCCCAAAUUAAAUGUGUAAAGUAUUCAAAAAACACACGUAGCUAGUUGUGCUAGACAUUUUAUAGAUAAUAUGUAGCAUAUAGUUUUUAAAUGUGCACACUUAUCUCCAAGUAAACAACAGCUGAUUUAAAAGGGGGUGUGGCGGAUUUCAAAACUCUUCUGCGAAGGAUACUCGCGCUUCUUCGGUGGGAGGACGUUAUCGAGGGUGCGAGGACACUCCUCCAUUUGAAACUAAUUGACACUAUCCUCGACCACUCUACAACUUAGCAGUUUCCGGGUCACUAAGGAGAUAGGACGGAGGAUUCGAGGAGAGUAUGGUCUUUUGGCCAAAUGAUAAUCCUCCAAAAAUGACUCUUUAAAUGUAUUAUGUUACUGUCAAUAUUACAUUUGCGAUUCCUAUAGUUGUAUACAGUAUGUAAGUGGUUACUGAAAUAGUUCACAACUUCUAAUCAUCUCAAAUCAUAUGAAAAAACAGAGGUCAAUGAUAAAAACCAAAGCAAGCAGUGUAAACAACAUUGCAGGCCUCUGUUGACUUACACACACACACACACACACACACACACACACACACACACACACACACACACACACACACACACACACACACACACACACACACACACACACACACACAGCCCCCUCGGCGUGAGCAUGUCUGGACACCUUCCUGCUCUUUCCUGGGAUUCUCACCAAAGGGAGAACACAACUUGUUUGAACUCGACAGGCCAGAGACUGAGUGAAGGGGAAGAUGACUGAACACACAGCACCGUCUGUUUCUGUUGUACAGUAAACUCUGAUAUAUUGUCAUGUGUACAAGUUGACUGCAGUAAAGGGAGAGGGCCAGUCCUGGACUUUGAAACGAGGGCAUAGUUAAGACAAAACCACGCCCCGUUAUUCAGAGAGGCGUUCUACUACGCUCCCAGCGCAGAGACAGUGACCUUCCAAGAACCUUAUAAAGAGGUCUUCUACCGACCGCCAAAACAUCUAUUCUAAGAACAAUGGAAACCUGACGUAUCCAUUACAACCGACGUUAUCAGGAGCCUCCUAUAGAGCUACAACCAUGAAAGACAUUGUGACUUCUGGGGAAGUAACCAGAGAUUAUCUGAUGAACUGACUCUCCAGCAGACGGACCGACAAUUCCAACAGAGAAGACAACGAUGUCACGACUCCUACCGAAGGUGGCUCUCCUUCCUGUUCGGGUGGCGCUCGGCGGUCGUCGUCACCGGCCUACUAGCUGCCUCUAACCUUUUUCCCCCUUGUCUGUUUAGUAGUUACACCUGUGUUUAGUUAGGUUGAUUGGUUGGGCUUUAUUAUCCAGCCGGCCCGCCUGCUGGGUGUGCAGGAUUGUUUGCAGUAUACUGUUGUGCACGACUGUAUGUCACCGUUGUCAGUGUAUGUGUGUUUUGCACUACUGUUUAGUUCCCCGUGUUUUGGGGCAAUUGUUUGGGUUGGCGUCGUUUUCACCGGUGUGGUGGAAUAAAAUCGCUAC